UUCAUCCCCGAGUGUGCUAGUCCUCUAUCCUAUGUAAGGGAGGAAGCCCGUCGCCUGAAGGGGCCCCAACUUAUAACCCGGAGUGGUCUUCACUUGGCACGGUCCUAACCUCACGGAGGAGCUUUUAUCCCGAAGAACUCCAAACCCCUUUCCCCGAGAAAUUCCUUCCCUGCAUGCAUUACCAAGUGCUGCUUACUCCCUCGUCUCCCUCACCCGCCACGCCUGUUCCACUCAGUCCCUACCACUUCUUAACCCGAGAAGUCCCCUUAGCCGCCACCGUGAGGGCCCAGACGCUUUCAUCAACUGCUUGGUCCGAAGGCCUUGCCAUCGAUUCUAAGUAGAUUUGCGCUCCCUAAGACACCCCCUCAUCCACCCACACAAGCAGGAGACUCCCGCCGGGUCAGCCGGUGCACCCGACUCUUUUCCUUUGAGUGGCAUAGCGGAGAGUGCAUCUUCUCCAAAAAGGAUCACAAGAGCAGGCAAUUCAGGGUUUCGGCGGACACAACAUCUUUGUUUGUAUGUGG